rnacentral:sRNA from 1 species
AUAUACCACGCGUCCACUGCGGUUCUGAGCGCGCCGUCCGCGCCCAUCUGACAGCUGCUCGCUACGUGUUGUCAGCC